CGCCAAAGACGGUAACAGCCCGGUAGUUGAAAUGGCUUUCCCUCCAGAGUGGAUCCUGAGUACGGCGGAACACGUGAAAUUCCGUCGGAAUCCGGGAGGACCAUCUCCCAAGGCUAAAUACUCCCUAGUGACCGAUAGUGAACCAGUACCGUGAGGGAAAGGUGAAAAGCACCCCGGAAGGGGAGUGAAACAGUUCCUGAAACCGUGUGCCUACAAGUAGUUAGAGCCCGUUAAUGGGUGAUAGCGUGCCUUUUGUAGAAUGAACCGGCGAGUUACGAUUUGUUGCAAGGUUAAGCGGAAAAAGCGGAGCCGUAGCGAAAGCGAGUCUGAAUAGGGCGCAUAAGUAACAGGUCGUAGACCCGAAACCAGGUGAUCUACCCAUGUCCAGGAUGAAGGUAAGGUAAUACUUACUGGAGGUCCGAACCCACGCACGUUGAAAAGUGCGGGGAUGAGGUGUGGGUAGCGGAGAAAUUCCAAUCGAACUUGGAGAUAGCUGGUUCUCUCCGAAAUAGCUUUAGGGCUAGCCUCGAGGUAAAGAGUCAUGGAGGUAGAGCACUGUUUGGACUAGGGGCCCUUCUCGGGUUACCGAAUUCAGAUAAACUCCGAAUGCCAUGUACUUAUACUCGGGAGUCAGACUGCGAGUGAUAAGAUCCGUAGUCGAAAGGGAAACAGCCCAGACCACCAGUUAAGGUCCCCAAAUAUAUGUUAAGUGGAAAAGGAUGUGGGGUUGCUUAGACAACCAGGAUGUUGGCUUAGAAGCAGCCACCAUUGAAAGAGUGCGUAAUAGCUCACUGGUCGAGUGACCCCGCGCCGAAAAUGUACCGGGGCUAAACAUAUUACCGAAACUGUGGAUGAACCUCUUUAGAGGUUCGUGGUAGGAGAGCGUUCUAAGGGCGGUGAAGUCAGACCGGAAGGACUGGUGGAGCGCUUAGAAGUGAGAAUGCCGGUAUGAGUAGCGAAAGAAGGGUGAGAAUCCCUUCCACCGAAUAUCUAAGGUUUCCUGAGGAAGGCUCGUCCGCUCAGGGUUAGUCGGGACCUAAGCCGAGGCCGAUAGGCGUAGGCGAUGGACAACAGGUAGAGAUUCCUGUACCAGUGCUAAUUGUUUAACCGAUGGGGUGACACAGAAGGAUAGGGAAUCGCACGAAUGGAAAUGUGCGUCCAAGCAGUGAGUGUGAGAAGUAGGCAAAUCCGCUUCUCGCGAAGCAUGAGCUGUGAUGGGGAAGGAAAUUAAGUACGGAAGUUCCUGAUUUCACGCUGUCAAGAAAAGCCUCUAGGAAGAGUAGUACUGCCCGUACCGCAAACCGACACAGGUAGAUGAGGAGAGAAUCCUAAGGUGAGCGAGAGAACUCUCGUUAAGGAACUCGGCAAAAUGACCCCGUAACUUCGGGAGAAGGGGUGCUCUAUUAGGGUGCAAGCCCGAGAGAGCCGCAGUGAAUAGGCCCAGGCGACUGUUUAGCAAAAACACAGGUCUCUGCAAAACCGUAAGGUGACGUAUAGGGGCUGACGCCUGCCCGGUGCUGGAAGGUUAAGAGGAGUGCUUAGCUUCGGCGAAGGUACGAAUUGAAGCCCCAGUAAACGGCGGCCGUAACUAUAACGGUCCUAAGGUAGCGAAAUUCCUUGUCGGGUAAGUUCCGACCCGCACGAAAGGCGCAACGAUCUGGGCACUGUCUCAACGAGAGACUCGGUGAAAUUAUAGUACCUGUGAAGAUGCAGGUUACCCGCGACAGGACGGAAAGACCCCGUGGAGCUUUACUGCAACCUGAUAUGGAAUGUUUGUACCGCUUGUACAGGAUAGGUAGGAGCCGAAGAGACGUGUGCGCUAGCAUACGAGGAGGCAAUGGUGGGAUACUACCCUGGCUGUAUGACCAUUCUAACCCGCCACGCUUAGCGCGUGGGGAGACAGUGUCAGGUGGGCAGUUUGACUGGGGCGGUCGCCUCCUAAAGAGUAACGGAGGCGCCCAAAGGUUCCCUCAGAAUGGAUGGAAAUCAUUCGCAGAGUGUAAAGGCACAAGGGAGCUUGACUGCGAGACUGACAAGUCGAGCAGGGACGAAAGUCGGGCUUAGUGAUCCGGUGGUUCCGCAUGGAAGGGCCAUCGCUCAACGGAUAAAAGCUACCCCGGGGAUAACAGGCUUAUCUCCCCCAAGAGUCCACAUCGACGGGGAGGUUUGGCACCUCGAUGUCGGCUCGUCGCAUCCUGGGGCUGUAGUCGGUCCCAAGGGUUGGGCUGUUCGCCCAUUAAAGCGGCACGCGAGCUGGGUUCAGAACGUCGUGAGACAGUUCGGUCCCUAUCCGUCGCGGGCGCAGGAAAUUUGAGAGGAGCUGUCCUUAGUACGAGAGGACCGGGAUGGACACACCGCUGGUGUACCAGUUGUUCCGCCAGGAGCAUCGCUGGGUAGCUAUGUGUGGCAGGGAUAAACGCUGAAAGCAUCUAAGCGUGAAGCCCCCCUCAAGAUGAGAUUUCCCAUUUCUUCGGAAAGUAAGAUCCCUGAAAGAUGAUCAGGUAGAUAGGUUUGGAGUGGAAGUGUAGCGAUACAUGGAGCGGACAAAUACUAAUCGAUCGAGGACUUAACCAAAA
rnacentral:rRNA from 1 species